rnacentral:rRNA from 3 species
UGCAAGUCGAACGAACUCUGGUAUUGAUUGGUGCUUGCAUCAUGAUUUACAUUUGAGUGAGUGGCGAACUGGUGAGUAACACGUGGGAAACCUGCCCAGAAGCGGGGGAUAACACCUGGAAACAGAUGCUAAUACCGCAUAACAACUUGGACCGCAUGGUCCGAGUUUGAAAGAUGGCUUCGGCUAUCACUUUUGGAUGGUCCCGCGGCGUAUUAGCUAGAUGGUGGGGUAACGGCUCACCAUGGCAAUGAUACGUAGCCGACCUGAGAGGGUAAUCGGCCACAUUGGGACUGAGACACGGCCCAAACUCCUACGGGAGGCAGCAGUAGGGAAUCUUCCACAAUGGACGAAAGUCUGAUGGAGCAACGCCGCGUGAGUGAAGAAGGGUUUCGGCUCGUAAAACUCUGUUGUUAAAGAAGAACAUAUCUGAGAGUAACUGUUCAGGUAUUGACGGUAUUUAACCAGAAAGCCACGGCUAACUACGUGCCAGCAGCCGCGGUAAUACGUAGGUGGCAAGCGUUGUCCGGAUUUAUUGGGCGUAAAGCGAGCGCAGGCGGUUUUUUAAGUCUGAUGUGAAAGCCUUCGGCUCAACCGAAGAAGUGCAUCGGAAACUGGGAAACUUGAGUGCAGAAGAGGACAGUGGAACUCCAUGUGUAGCGGUGAAAUGCGUAGAUAUAUGGAAGAACACCAGUGGCGAAGGCGGCUGUCUGGUCUGUAACUGACGCUGAGGCUCGAAAGUAUGGGUAGCAAACAGGAUUAGAUACCCUGGUAGUCCAUACCGUAAACGAUGAAUGCUAAGUGUUGGAGGGUUUCCGCCCUUCAGUGCUGCAGCUAACGCAUUAAGCAUUCCGCCUGGGGAGUACGGCCGCAAGGCUGAAACUCAAAGGAAUUGACGGGGGCCCGCACAAGCGGUGGAGCAUGUGGUUUAAUUCGAAGCUACGCGAAGAACCUUACCAGGUCUUGACAUACUAUGCAAAUCUAAGAGAUUAGACGUUCCCUUCGGGGACAUGGAUACAGGUGGUGCAUGGUUGUCGUCAGCUCGUGUCGUGAGAUGUUGGGUUAAGUCCCGCAACGAGCGCAACCCUUAUUAUCAGUUGCCAGCAUUAAGUUGGGCACUCUGGUGAGACUGCCGGUGACAAACCGGAGGAAGGUGGGGAUGACGUCAAAUCAUCAUGCCCCUUAUGACCUGGGCUACACACGUGCUACAAUGGAUGGUACAACGAGUUGCGAACUCGCGAGAGUAAGCUAAUCUCUUAAAGCCAUUCUCAGUUCGGAUUGUAGGCUGCAACUCGCCUACAUGAAGUCGGAAUCGCUAGUAAUCGCGGAUCAGCAUGCCGCGGUGAAUACGUUCCCGGGCCUUGUACACACCGCCCGUCACACCAUGAGAGUUUGUAACACCCAAAGUCGGUGGGGUAACCUUUUAGGAAC